rnacentral:misc_RNA from 1 species
CACCAAUCAAGCACUGCUUGGCAUUAGGCCUCCUUUCGCCCCCGGUCCGCGAGGACGCACGGGGCGGGCCCCAAACACCUCGGCGGAGUCCCCAUAGGCUCUCGGCGUAGCAGAAUCUCUCAAACGUCAAGAACCCUCGGGCCCCCUGCCGCGAAAACUGUCACCGUACAUUUUCUCAAA